rnacentral:rRNA from 1 species
UACGGAGGGUGCAAGCGUUCUCCGGAAUUACUGGGUUUAAAGGGUGCGUAGGCGGCUUGAUAAGUCAGGGGUGAAAGCCUAGCGCUUAACGAUAGAAUUGCCUUUGAUACUGUAAAGCUUGAAAGGGGUUGAGGUCAGCAGAAUGUGGCAUGUAGCGGUGAAAUGCAUAGAUAUGCCAUAGAACACCGAUCGCGAAGGCAGCUGGCGGGGCCUACUCUGACGCUGACGCACGAAAGCGUGGGGAGCGAACAGG